rnacentral:rRNA from 1 species
UAUCAAUAAGCGGAGGAAAAGAAACCAACAGGGAUUGCCUCAGUAACGGCGAGUGAAGCGGCAACAGCUCAAAUUUGAAAUCUGGCCCUAGGCCCGAGUUGUAAUUUGCAGAGGAUGUUUCUGGCGAGGUGCCUUCCGAGUGCCCUGGAACGGGACGCCAUAGAGGGUGAGAGCCCCGUACGGUUGGUCGCUAAGCCUCUGUGAAACUCCUUCGACGAGUCGAGUAGUUUGGGAAUGCUGCUCUAAAUGGGAGGUAUACGUCUUCUAAAGCUAAAUACCGGCCAGAGACCGAUAGCGCACAAGUAGAGUGAUCGAAAGAUGAAAAGCACUUUGAAAAGAGGGUUAAAUAGUACGUGAAAUUGUUGAAAGGGAAGCGCUCAUGACCAGACUUGGGCCGGUUGAUCAUCCGCCGUUCUCGGCGGUGCACUCUGCCGGCUCAGGCCAGCAUCAGUUUGGUCCGGGGGAUAAAGGUGUAGGGAAUGUGGCUCCCCCCGGGGAGUGUUAUAGCCCUGCGCGUAAUACCCUGGACUGGACUGAGGUUCGCGCAUCUGCAAGGAUGCUGGCGUAAUGGUUAUCAGUGACCCGUCUUGAAACACGGACCAAGGAGUCGUCUUCGUAUGCGAGUGUUCGGGUGUCAAACCCCUACGCGUAAUGAAAGUGAACGUAGGAGAGAGCUUCGGCGCAUCUCCGACCGAUCCUGAUGUUCUCGGAUGGAUUUGAGUAAGAGCAUACGGGGCCGGACCCGAAAGAAGGUGAACUAUGCCUGUAUAGGGUGAAGCCAGAGGAAACUCUGGUGGAGGCUCGCAGCGGUUCUGACGUGCAAAUCGAUCGUCAAAUAUGGGCAUGGGGGCGAAAGACUAAUCGAACCUUCUAGUAGCUGGUUUC